rnacentral:rRNA from 1 species
ACAUGGAUAACCGUGGUAAUUCUAGAGCUAAUACAUGCUAUUAAGCCUGACUUCUUGAAAGGCCGUAUUUAUUAUAUAACAGACCAAUAUUCCUCGUGUCUAUUGUGGUGAAUCAUAGUAACUUUUCGGAUCGCAUGGGUUUUGCCCGCGACAAACCAUUCAAGUUUCUGCCCCAUCAGCUUUCGAUGGUAGUGUAUUGGACUACCAUGGCUUUCACGGGUAACGGAGGAUUAGGGUUCGAUUCCGGAGAGGGAGCCUGAAAAACGGCUACCACAUCUAAGGAAGGCAGCAGGCGCGUAAAUUACCCAAUUCUGACUCAGAGAGGUAGUGACAAGAAAUAACGGGUCGGGGUUUUCCCCGGGACUGCAAUGAAACGAAUUUACACAUCUUAUCGAGCAACAAUU